UCUGCCACAAAGAACCUUGUUCAGGUAUGCAGGCGUGAAAGAAGAGUUUGAAUUCGUUUCUUAUUUACCUAUUGUUCGUAGGGAUCUACUUGUCACCAGUGCCGCCAGAAAACUAUUGAUACCAAAACAAACUGCAGAAACCCGGACUGCUGGGGUGUUCGAGGCCAGUUUUGCGGUCCCUGCCUUCGAAAUCGAUACGGUGAAGAGGUCAAGGAUGCACUGCUGGAUCCGAACUGGCGGUGCCCGCCUUGUCGAGGAAUCUGCAACUGCAGUUUCUGCCGACAGCGAGACGGACGGUGCGCGACUGGGGUCCUUGUGUAUUUAGCCAAGUAUCAUGGCUUUGGGAAUGUGCAUGCUUACUUGAAAAGUCUGAAGCAAGAAUUUGAAAUGCAAGCGUAAUGUCUGGAAGAUUCACUGCCUGGCUUCCACUUCUCAAAUUUCCCUGAUAAAGUUUUCGGUUUGUCAUUGAUUGAAACCUGAGUUAAGAAUCAGAGUGAUCAAUCUGUUCUGUGGGAAAUGCAGGUCAAGUUCAUCUUUUCAGUCACGUGUGUGUUUCUGGAGCAUCGAGGAAGGUGCACUGCUAGUUAUGCUUUUCUUUCCCUGCAGUUUCUCCUCUGCUUCCUGCCCCCAGCCCCUCUGUUUCCAGCGGUCCUCUCCCACCAUUUCUUUUCUGAAUUCUUUUUAAAUGACAAUUUUACAAAAGCCUAUUUGAUUUAGUUGAUGUUUGAAUAGCCUUAGAAGCUACCCAUAAAACCCAAGCACUUAGAAACACAGUAGUAAUAUUAACUGUUAACUAACUAGAGCUGCUACACUCCAGAACAGCGGUCUCACUUGUCGACACAGAAAUGAUGGGUAUCAUUUAGCGUUCUUACUAGUUGAUAUUUUGAACCAGGAGCAAGGCACACAUGUUAAAAGCCAUGUGAAAAAAAUUAGGUAACUGUUGCAGAGUAUGUUUGGAUGCCUCUCCUGAGGGUAUUCCAUGUUUUGUACUUAACUGUGUGCCUGUUGUCACAGCUGAGACAUAGUUGCUGCUGCUGUGAAUUUCUUCUGCCAUGAGGCCAAGUGGUAUAUCUGGCUUAUAUUGUCACGACCCAAAGCUUUGCAGGCAAUGCUAUACUUAAAAUUAUUGUAGAAAAGACAUCUUGAAAAUUACGACGGUGAAACUUGACAAGUGGGCUGAUUUGAUUUCUGGGUUAAAACUUGGCUAUAAUUGUAGUUUGCCAAGUUUAUUACAGAUAAAUUUUUGGCCCCUGUUACUCAGAAACGUGAUACUAAUAACUUGUCUGUGUUUCUUUACAGUUUCUCAAAGAACUCACAAGUUUGUCACAGGUUCAUGUUUAGGUUUUAAGCACUUUUGUAGCAAUGAGACAUGCCCUGUUGGAGAUGAGUAACAUUUAUAGUUUGUUAGCCUAACGUCUCUGCCAACCUAGCUUCCGCCAUGUCCCUCCUUCCCCUUGCAUUCAUUGAGUCCUUUGGUAGUGCUGGACUCUUAAGUGUGUGUGUGUCCAAUUUAUUUGCUGUGUAAGCCAUUGCUAUUGCCAUUCAUUGUUUGAUGAAUCAUUGGAACUUGAAU